CCUACGGGUGGCAGCAGUGGGGAAUAUUGGGCAAUGGACGCAAGUCUGACCCAGCAACGCCGCGUGAAGGAAGGAGGCUUUCGGGUUGUAAACCUCUUUUAAGGGGGAAGAGCAGAAGGCGGUACCCCUUGAAUAAGCCACGGCUAACUAAGUGCCAGCAGCCGCGGUAAUACGGAGGUGGCGAGCGUUGUCCGGAUUUACUGGGUGUAAAGGGCGUGCAGCCGGAGAGACAAGACAGAUGUGAAAUCCACGGGCGCAACCCGGGAACUGCAUUUGAAACUGGUUCCCUUGAGUGUCGGAGAGGUAAGCGGAAUUCCUAGUGUAGCGGUGAAAUGCGUAGAUAUUAGGAAGAACACCAGUGGCGAAGGCGGAUUACUGGACGAUAACUGACGGUGAGGCGCGAAAGCGUGGGGAGCAAACAGGAUUAGAUACCCGUGUAGUC
rnacentral:rRNA from 1 species